GCAUAUCAAUAAGCGGAGGAAAAGAAACCAACAGGGAUUGCCCUAGUAACGGCGAGUGAAGCGGCAACAGCUCAAAUUUGAAAUCUGGCUUCGGCCCGAGUUGUAAUUUGCAGAGGAAGCUUUAGGCGCGGCACCUUCUGAGUCCCCUGGAACGGGGCGCCAUAGAGGGUGAGAGCCCCGUAUAGUUGGAUGCCUAGCCUGUGUAAAGCUCCUUCGACGAGUCGAGUAGUUUGGGAAUGCUGCUCAAAAUGGGAGGUAAAUUUCUUCUAAAGCUAAAUACCGGCCAGAGACCGAUAGCGCACAAGUAGAGUGAUCGAAAGAUGAAAAGCACUUUGAAAAGAGGGUUAAACAGCACGUGAAAUUGUUGAAAGGGAAGCGCUUGUGACCAGACUUGCGCCAGGCUGAUCAUCCGGUGUUCUCACCGGUGCACUCGGCCCGGCACAGGCCAGCAUCGGUUCUCGCGGGGGGAUAAAGGUCUCGGGAACGUAGCUCCUCCGGGAGUGUUAUAGCCCGGGGCGUAAUGCCCUCGCGGGGACCGAGGUUCGCGCAUCUGCAAGGAUG
rnacentral:rRNA from 4 species